rnacentral:rRNA from 1 species
AACGAACGCUGGCGGCAUGCCUAACACAUGCAAGUCCAACGAGACCUUCGGGUCUAGUGGCGCACGGGUGCGUAACGCGUGGGAACCUGCCCUUAGGUUCGGAAUAACUCCCCGAAAGGGGUGCUAAUACCGGAUAAUGUCUUCGGACCAAAGAUUUAUCGCCUUUGGAUGGGCCCGCGUUGGAUUAGCUAGUUGGUAGGGUAAAAGCCUACCAAGGCGACGAUCCAUAGCUGGUCUGAGAGGAUGAUCAGCCACACUGGGACUGAGACACGGCCCAGACUCCUACGGGAAGCAGCAGUGGGGAAUAUUGGACAAUGGGCGAAAGCCUGACCCAGCAAUGCCGCGUGAGUGAUGAAGGCCUUAGGGUUGUAAAGCUCUUUUACCCGGGAUGAUAAUGACAGUACCGGGAGAAUAAGCUCCGGCUAACUCCGUG